GAUGAACGCUGGCGGCGUGCCUAAUACAUGCAAGUCGAGCGAACGGACGAGAAGCUUGCUUCUCUGAUGUUAGCGGCGGACGGGUGAGUAACACGUGGAUAACCUACCUAUAAGACUGGGAUAACUUCGGGAAACCGUAGCUAAUACCGGAUAAUAUUUUGAACCGCAUGGUUCAAAAGUGAAAGACGGUCUUGCUGUCACUUAUAGAUGGAUCCGCGCUGCAUUAGCUAGUUGGUAAGGUAACGGCUUACCAAGGCAACGAUGCAUAGCCGACCUGAGAGGGGGAUCGGCCACCCUGGAACUGAGACACGGUCCAGACUCCUAAGGGAGGCAGCAGUAGGGAAUCUUACGCAGUGGGCGAAAGCCUGACGGAGCAACGCCGCGUGAGUGAUGAAGGUCUUCGGAUCGUAAAACUCUGUUAUUAGGGAAGAACAUAUGUGUAAGUAACUGUGCACAUAUUGACGGUACCUAAUCAGAAAGCCACGGCUAACUACGUG
rnacentral:rRNA from 1 species